ensembl:snRNA U6 U6 spliceosomal RNA
GCUCACUUCGGCAGCAUACAGUAAAAUUGGAAUAAUACAGAAAAGAUUAGCAAGGUCCCUGCACAAAGAUACACAAGUCUGUGAAGCAUUCCAUAUUGAA